AUGACAGAAAUACAUCAUCAAGAGAGCUUUGAAGGUUCCAGGGAGUCCAGGAAUGUAAAACAAUAUGCAAUACUGUCAUGUAAAGCACCUCAUUUGUCAAAACAAACAAAAACCAAGUGGAACACAUGCAAAGCUUCACUACAGUUGGGUUUUCUUCCCUCUGACCCAUGUGCAGUGUUUUGCAUCAGACCAGAAAACCUGAGCUUCAUAUUCAAAGCAAACAGCAGGGUCAAGAAAACUCUUGGGAGUAGAGGUACUUCUCAGUAGAGAACGUUUCCACAGAAAUGCAACACUGAAGCACUGGUGGCUGGGGGCAGAGUCCACAACUUUCAGGUCUUGCUGCAUAUGAGGAAGACAGACCAUAGAAAGAUGGCAAGAUGAGUUUGUUUCUGUCUCCCAGUAUCCACCUGCUCCACAAUGUAGGCUACACAACUUCCUCAGGGGAUGUAGGAUCCCUCACAGUAUCCAACUGCGUGUAUUUCACCUCCCUGGAAUAGAACCAGGCUCAAGACAUUUCCCAUUGUUUUACCUCUAAAAUGUUACAAACCUAAAGCCAUGACAUUUUGAUGCCUGUUUUAAAACCUACCUGACAUGGCCUAUGUACUUACUAUAUUUAAUUGCUGGCAGAGUUCCAGGUCUCUCGUUUUGGACAGUAUUUUCAUCCCAUUGCUUGCAGAACAUUUCAUAUGCAUAUAAUUUUUGUUGAUGUUCUCUGGCUUUUUUGUAUCCUUGCACUAUUUCCUGCUGCCAUUUCCAGUCACUAACAGUGUGUGCAAUUCCAUAGCUUUCUCUUCCGAGCAAAGUUCUCACUGCUGUACUUUGUUCCCAGCACUAAUAAUUUGGAACAUUAACAUCAAAUUACAAGAAGAAAGUCUGCUUUUUCCGGGUUCUGUUCUGAACUGCUACUAUAUUAGAGACUACCUUGCAGUUGAGCCACAGAUCACUGUAUUUUGACAAUCCAGUUGUGUGUCAAAGGAGUGAUCUCAGACCAGUUCUUUAUCCAUGUCACCAUGCAUCCAUUUAAACCACCUCUUCCCAUCUCAUAAGUCAUCGUGAAAGUGAAAUAUCAAUGUAUUUUCUAUAUUGCGAAACCAUGGGUGAAUCAGAAAUACUGGUACAGUAAAACAAAUCCUCUUUUUUGUAUCAAAAUACAGAAACUUACAUU
rnacentral:lncRNA from 1 species